UACGGGGGGGGCAAGCGUUGUUCGGAAUUACUGGGCGUAAAGGGCUCGUAGGUUGCCAACUAAGUCAGACGUGAAAUCCCUCGGCUUAACCGGGGAACUGCGUCUGAUACUGGAUGGCUUGAGUUCGGGAGAGGGAUGCGGAAUUCCAGGUGUAGCGGUGAAAUGCGUAGAUAUCUGGAGGAACACCGGUGGCGAAGGCGGCAUCCUGGACCAACACUGACACUGAUGAGCGAAAGCCAGGGGAGCAAACGGG
rnacentral:rRNA from 1 species